UGGGAUUGAAAAGUUGUUUCUGGUCUCAAGCUUGAGUUCUGUUUUCUCAGUGGUUGGUUCUCCUUCUCCCGUGUAGGUGUGCGUAGUUAGUCUUUUGGAGCUUUGGUCUCUUCUAUUCAGAGCUUUGUGUUAUCUCGUUGGAAUGGACGCCUUGUAUGUGCUUUUUACUUCUUAGUUAGUAGUUGUGCUUCUGGUGCUUUAGGCAUGUGUCUUGCGAUGACUAUUCUUUUUCUGACCCGUAUUUUUGAUUUUUUGCGUUAGUGUUUGAUCGCAUUCUUUUGUGUUCGGAAGAUUGUUUUGUCUCAUAUUUUAUCUCUUUUUUUUCUGACAUUUGCUUGUUAUAGCGAAGACAUUCUAUGGUAAGAGGAGGUAAGUUAGUAUUCUUUGUUGAUCUUUUUUUUUAUUUUAUUUUUUCUGCGAUUUUGGAAGUUUUAAGUUUAGAUUAGGAGUUGUACUGUAGUUUUUCUUAUUAGUUUGGUUAUUUUAUGAUUUUUAAUAGUAAAAUAAAUAUAUAAUUUGUUAAUAAAAUAAUAUAAAAAUUGUAAAAAAUAAUAAAAUAAUAAAAAUUUAUAUUACUUUUAGCUGUGAACAAAUUAAAUAUUUAAAAUAUUUUUUUAUUCAUCUUGAAUUUAGUGAUCAAUAAAAUAGAUU
rnacentral:lncRNA from 1 species